rnacentral:rRNA from 1 species
CGCAGCAAACGCAUUAAGUGCCCCGCCCGGGGAGUACGGCCGCAAGGCUAAAACUCAAAGAAAUUGACGGGGGCCCGCACAAGCGGCGGAGCAUGCGGAUUAAUUCGAUGCAACGCGAAGAACCUUACCAAGGCUUGACAUGCACCGGUAACACUCAGAGAUGGGUGCCCCGCAAGGUCGGUGCACAGGUGGUGCAUGGUUGUCGUCAGCUCGUGUCGUGAGAUGUUGGGUUAAGUCCCGCAACGAGCGCAACCCUCGUCCCAUGUUGCCAGCGGGUUAUGCCGGGGACUCAUGGGAGACUGCCGGGGUCAACUCGGAGGAAGGUGGGGAUGACGUCAAAUCAUCAUGCCCCUUAUGUCUUGGGCUUCACGCAUGCUACAAUGGCCGGUACAAAGGGCUGCGAUACCGCGAGGUGGAGCGAAUCCCAAAAAGCCGGUCUCAGUUCGGAUUGGGGUCUGCAACUCGACCCCAUGAAGUCGGAGUCGCUAGUAAUCGCAGAUCAGCAACGCUGCGGUGAAUACGUUCCCGGGCCUUGUACACACCGCCCGUCAAGUCAUGAAAGUCGGUAACACCCGAAGCCGGUGGCCCAACC